rnacentral:misc_RNA from 1 species
GGGUGUGGGGGGUGAGGAGAUUUCAGUACUCUUUUAGUUGAGGAAGCUUACACUUACCUUUUGAAAUUUGAAGUCUAAACAUACCAUAAAUACACGGAUUGGCCUAAAGUUUGUGCAUGUUCGUAAUGGAAUUUGUGAAAGGAAAAGCACCAUUUAGUGAGUUGGGGUUUCAAUUUGUGAAUAAGAACUAUUUGAGAAGAUUAUAAUUUUGUUUGAUAGUGGAUUUUAUGAGGUGGGUAAGUCGCCAAUCCACAUUAAAUUUCACAUUUUUGUUAAUGCGUUUUGCAUUUUAACUAAAACAUAAUAUGUAAAAGUACUACACAUUGAAAAUAUGCAUUAAAAUCUUCCUGUUAACUCUGACCAGUGCAACCAAGAAAGAGCUGUUAUUUGACUCUGAUAGCUGCAUGUCCUUGCAACCCUGACUUCAUGAUUUAUAUAUAACUGAAAUUCCAUGGUCAGACAAUUUUCUACGUGUCAAAAUCUUCAGAAGAGGAACUCAAAAAGUAUUCUUCAUUGAUAUUUAGUAAAAGCACAGCCUGCUGUCUUUUAUUAUUCUUCAACAACCCUUUUUGCUGAAUCCUAUAGGACUUUCUACACCAUUUCAGUAGUCAUACCCAAUGAUUAUAUUUUAAACCAAUGUUAUAUCCCCCUCUAAUACAUGCAUAAGGGCAAAAAUCUAUGCUCGUUGUCCAUUUGAAAAGCAUUCCUCUAAAGUCUAAAUUCACUUUCAGCAAGGGCUUUAUGCAUAAUUCCUGACUCCUGAGGGCAUUAUUUGUAGGUUCUAAGAGCUCUUCUUUUUGAGGGCUGUUUGUUGCUCUCCUUGUCUGAGUUACUAUAGUGGAACUGGACUCGGGCAUUAUUUGUUGGUUCUAAGAGCUCUUCUGUUUGAGGGCUGUUUGUUGCUCUCCUUGUCUGAGUUACUAUAGUGGAACUGGACUCGGGCAUUAUUUGUUGGUUCUAAGAGCUCUUCUG